rnacentral:rRNA from 1 species
UGGGGAAUAUUGCACAAUGGGCGAAAGCCUGAUGCAGCAACGCCGCGUGAGUGAUGAAGGCCUUCGGGUUGUAAAGCUCUGUCUUUUGGGACGAUAAUGACGGUACCAAAGGAGGAAGCCACGGCUAACUACGUGCCAGCAGCCGCGGUAAUACGUAGGUGGCAAGCGUUGUCCGGAUUUACUGGGCGUAAAGGAUGCGUAGGCGGAUUUUUAAGUGAGAUGUGAAAACCCUAAGCUUAACUUGGGGACUGCAUUUCAUACUGGAAAUCUAGAGUGCGGGAGAGGAGAAUGGAAUUCCUAGUGUAGCGGUGAAAUGCGUAGAGAUUAGGAAGAACACCAGUGGCGAAGGCGAUUCUCUGGACCGUAACUGACGCUGAGGCAUGAAAGCGUGGGUAGCAAACAGGAUUAGAUACCCUGGUAGUCCACGCCGUAAACGAUGAGUACUAGGUGUAGGAGGUAUCGACCCCUUCUGUGCCGCAGUUAACACAAUAAGUACUCCGCCUGGGAAGUACGAUCGCAAGAUUAAAAACUUAAAUGAAUUGACGGGGUCAUAGCUG